rnacentral:piRNA from 1 species
UAUUUCUAUCUCAUUGUUGUU